rnacentral:rRNA from 1 species
AUCGUUUGGUACCCUUCUCGGUGCGCCUCGUACCAUACCCGUACCGUCACCGUGGCAUGCUGGGUACGGUAUGUGCUGUGGGUGGGACGGCGACCCUAGGAAGGAAGGAUAUAUAGGGGGGCGCGCGCGAGGGGAGUCGCAGGAUGCUAACUAUGAUGGGUAGUAUCGUAGUCAAUGGUUGUCUUCUCUGUCGGUAUGAGGUGUCGCCUCGUCGCGAUGGUCACAGCGCGGCAAUGACUUUACCUGUCGUGGUCGACGGAGCGGCUGCUGUGGUCGUCGCCGCCGCCGCGGAGGUGCCUGUUCGAGUUCCGCGACCGGCGGCGCCGCCGACGCCGGCGCCCCGGCGAGCUCGCGUACCCGUCGCCGCGGUCGCGCCACGAGCUGCGCCGGCUCGGCCCGAGGCUCCGGCUGAGACCGCCGGCACGCCCACGGCAGCCGCGCCGCCGCCCCUUCGACGGCAGCAGGUCCAAGUUCCCGCACCACGGCGUCGGGUUGCCCGCCACCCCGCGCGUCUAGAUGCUCGCCGUGGUCGCGCACACCGAGCCGUGCAAGCGGCCCCUCCGGCUGCGGCGCGCGCGGAUGCUGCAGCGGCGCGUCGCGAAGGCGCCUGCGCUGCGGCAGUGGUUGAAGGCGGGCGAGCGCCUGCGGCUGGGGCUGCGGCGGCGGCUCGAGGCGAAGGAGCGGCGCGCGAGGUUCCGGCUCCAGCAGCUGUACGACGCGUUCGUGUGGAUGAAGCUGCUCGAGCGGGUCUCGUUCGCGCGGGAGCGGCGGAGCCGGCGCGAGAGGCGCGGGUGGUGGAGUGCGCCGCGGCGGAGCUGGGGGAGCGGCCGGCGGCGCGCGCUCGUGGACAAGCUGUUCUGCCAGUGCGGGUCGCUGCACCCGUUCGACUUGGCCGACCACUAAGGCUUCGUCGUGCGGCUCUUCGUGAAGGGCGACGUCGAGGGCCGGCGCCCGCCGCUCUCGUUCCCGGACGAGGACUUGAAGCUCCUGCGGCGGCCGUUCCACACCGCCAAGGCGAUGAGCAUGACCUUGUCGUCGGUCUCGAUGCACGAGUGGUUCCCGACCUCGGCGAAGCACUUCCUCUUCCCGGAGCCGCGGCCUCUGCAGCAGCCCAAGAUGGCGCGUCGGCGGCCGCUCCUGUCGUUCGAGAAGUAUCUGACGUUCGUCGCCGGCUCGUGGUUGUCGGGACGGGGGCGUCUGGGGCACCUGGUCGGCCGCCACGGGCACUUCUUCCGGCACUCUGAGAAGCCGCAGCUGGAAGAGUGCCGCGGCCGCAGCGGCCUCGUCCCCUACGGCCCCACGUUCUCCCGGUCUCUGAACCACUUCAGCGGCGGAGGCUGUCGCCGCAAGUUCUUCGUUACGUAUCUCGACCGCGAUCGCAUCUCAACCUUGAUAAUCGAGCUAGCUAGAGAAGAGAGGUCGAUCCGCCGCCAAAAACGAGCGCAUUAAGUCCACCAUCUCGAAUCGAAUUAAUCAGGGAACAACCAUGAUAGUAGUUGAAACAAACAAAUAAACAGUACAACAACGUACGGGACUACAUUUAGAAUAGGAGGGUUUUUACAUAUGAUUAACUCCUUCGGGAUCUUCCGAUCGGAUCUAGCAAGUUGGCUGCUUCUUCUACUUUGUAUAUUAUUGUAAAACUUACAUCGGAUCGAGUAGUCAAAGGAACAGUUUUUGACCUUCAUAGAUCUAUAAACCGCAGGUAAAACUGGAUCGAAAUAAAGAACGCGGAAAAAUAUGUGGAAAACAUAAAUAUACGUG